CAAAGUUAUUAAAGUUAUCACAGUCAGCGGCGGAGGUGGAGGUGGUGGAUGGCCAAGUGGAGGCGGAGGUGGCUGGAAAUCCGGAGGAGGGGGCGGAUGGUCCGGCGGCGGUGGGGGAGGUGGAUGGCCCAGCGCCUGGAAAUUGGGAGGUGGCGGCGGCGGUAGUGGCUGGUCUAGCGGAGGUGGUGGUGGUGGCUGGUCAAGUGGAGGUGGCGGCGGAUGGAAACCAAGUGGAGGAUGGAAAUCCGGAGGCGGAUGGUCCGGAGGCGGUGGGGGUGGCAGUGGAUGGUGGUAAAGGAAAAAAGAAAAUUCUCUUCGUUUAAGAAUGAAAAUUUCCCACUUCCAAAAGAAAAUUACCAAAUGAGAAAAAAAAAUUGCAUUUCCUUCGAUUCAAGAAGAACGUGAAGAAAAUCGGAGGUCCUUUUCAUUUCAUUUGUUUAUAAAUUAAAAUGGCACAAAUCGACUGCGAGGUAAAUCAAAAGAAUGAGAGACGUUGUUAUGUGCAGCUGCGUCAAUUGUAUUAUAUAUUUUUUCACCUAAUAAAAACUUUUGCAUAGAGGCACAACACCCAUUAUAA